rnacentral:rRNA from 1 species
GUGGGGAAUAUUGGACAAUGGGCGAAAGCCUGAUCCAGCCAUGCCGCGUGUAUGAAGAAGGUCUUCGGAUUGUAAAGCACUUUAAGUUGGGAGGAAGGGCAGUAAGUUAAUACCUUGCUGUUUUGACGUUACCGACAGAAUAAGCACCGGCUAACUUCGUGCCAGCAGCCGCGGUAAUACGAAGGGUGCAAGCGUUAAUCGGAAUUACUGGGCGUAAAGCGCGCGUAGGUGGUUUUGUAAGUUGGAGGUGAAAUCCCCGGGCUCAACCUGGGAACUGCCUCCAAAACUGCAUGACUAGAGUACGGUAGAGGGUAGUGGAAUUUCCUGUGUAGCGGUGAAAUGCGUAGAUAUAGGAAGGAACACCAGUGGCGAAGGCGACUACCUGGACUGAUACUGACACUGAGGUGCGAAAGCGUGGGGAGCAAACAGGAUUAGAAACCCCGGUAGUCC